rnacentral:rRNA from 1 species
AUACGGAGGGUGCAAGCGUUAUUCGGAAUCACUGGGCGUAAAGGACGCGUAGGCGGGUUGCUAAGUCUGAUGUGAAAUCCUAUGGCUCAACCAUAGAACUGCAUUGGAAACUGGUAACCUAGAGUAUGGGAGGGGAAGAUGGAAUUAGUGGUGUAGGGGUAAAAUCCGUAGAUAUCACUAGGAAUACCGAAAGCGAAGGCGAUCUUCUGGAACAUUACUGACGCUGAGGCGUGAAAGCGUGGGGAGCAAACAGGAUUAGAUACCCCUGUAGUCC